rnacentral:snRNA from 1 species
AGAUGUGAUGGGUGAUCUGGUUGCAACAUCGGUCACUCCAUUGAUCACCAGCAUGAUUCAGUUGACCUGGCUGACUAGGUAGGUGACCCCUUCCUCCCUCACAGCUCCAUGUUCGUCCCUCCAGAAGCUGCAUGCUGGCUCUGUCCAGUCUUUGGUCCAGGGUAUAUGAGUAGCUGUGCUCCUCUGCUAGACCCUCCAAACCUGCUCUCAAGGUCCCUUUGUUGUUCGGUUUCAAAUUACAUACUAUGAGUCUUCCACUAUUGU